CUCCGAAAUUUUCAUUUUCCUCCCUUUUUCUCUUUCUCUUCUUCCUAUCCCUAACCUAUUCUUUCUACCAAAUCGAACAGCAGCAGAAAUCUAUCUCGAAUUCUAUCUUCUUCGUCAAAAUCGAAAUCCAGUUUGAUCUUCAUCAAUUUCACACCCUAAAUCUCCAUUCAUCUUUACUCAAUUUCGACUUUAGAGUACAGAGUUUGGAUUUGGUUGAUUGAAUAUUCAAUCCUAUAACCCUAAUUUCAAAAUUGGGUGAAUUGAUUGAACCACCAUCACCAUCACCAAGCGUCCUCUGCUUUCUACACCACUACCAUAAAAUCAACAUUAACGGUGUUCAACCUAGAGUGUAUUGCAAUGGAGUUUACUCAAGGUUGAGGAGUUCAGGUUAAGUUAAUGUGCUCAUAUACUGCAAGAAACAAAUAUGCUACAUGAAUAGUUGUUAGAGGAACACCAUUAUCAUUCCUUAGAAAGAAACAACAACUUUGAUUCUGAUUUUGAACUAUUUCCCGAUUGGAAUUGGGGACCCAAACCCCAGAUUCCAGUUCUUCUCCUCAAAUUAAACUUGAAGAGAUUUUUCAUGGGUAACUGUGACUCUUUGCAACCCAUCGAAGACCAUACAUACUGUCUUUCGGCUCAGUCCUGUACUAACAUUUGCAUUUGGCAUUCUACUCCUGCUCAUUGGUUCAUCUGGUGGAUUAGCUACUUCUGUGAUCGCCAUCAUAUUUGCUCUCACCCAAUACUUUAUGCAUGUUGGGUAGCUAAUGGGAACCGCACAACUCAAAUUCUCACUUUCUAUGGUUGCUUCAGUACCGUUAGCUCGUAAACUAUAUUCUUUCAUAAUAUUAACUGGUCCACUUAUGGCUGCCACGAUUUAUACCCGGCUUUCAGUUUCUGGAAUUGGCGGUGCUACUGCAACAUGGACCCAAUUCGAUCCCCUUUACAUUUUUUCAAUUCUUCUGAGUAUGGGAUGGACUAUGCAAGUGAUUAAAAAUGCGGUACAUGUUGGGAUCUCAUUUGUCAGUUACAUGUAUUUCGCACGCGGGGUUGAAGUCGAUUCAGUUUGGGCUUUUAGAGACCCGUGGAAGUACUUGAUUGGGAACAUUUGUAUUGGUUCCAUUUUAGAGCCAGUUUUGCUGUUAUUCGAGGUUCGGCGUAUGCCAUGACUGCAAUCAUAGGUGAUACAUAGUACAAGUUUUUGUUGUUAUUCGACGUUCGGCGUGGGAAUAGAUGGGGAUUUGUGCACGUAGGAGUUUUUGGCAAGGGUUUUGUGCAGUCUUCAAUUCACAUAUGAGAGAUGUUUAGAAGAGUCGGAAUGGAACCAGUUGUUGACUCGGAUCUAACUGGAUCCUUUUGUUUCCUCUAUGAAGUUGCUGGAGGUUCUAUGCGCACCCUUGUUGCUUAGGGAUGGUAACUUUCAAUCAAUAAGGAUCAUGCUACUCCAAUAUCCAUAUAUGCCUUCUUUAUCGGCUAUCUUAUGAGUAGGAUCACCAUGGUUUGGACUCAGGGGUGCGUGUCGGCAUAUCAUGUAGUGUUCGCAGAAAACCCAGAAAGCCUCCGAUUUGAUACAACAAUCCCAGAUCAUAUACAUGAGCUGCAACAAUCAUCAGCUUGACCACAAUGAGCACCAGCAGAGACAAAAUUCGAACAUCAAAUGGAGAACAUAACUUGUACUGCUCCAGUAAUCAGAUCACAAAGAAGCGUAGUUUGUAACUAUUAACUCAAUUCAUAAUUGUUUGUUCAUCUGACUUUAACUCAACUUAUGGUACUUGGUAAGAAAUGUCAUAAAAAAUAUAACAGCGUCGACUGUUUCUUUUACCAUAAAGCGUAAGUCGCACAUACUAAGAAAAUGCAGCUUGUUCAGAAGACUUGAAAGCUUCUCGUAAAUUUUUUCGGUCGGCCAUCCCACCGUGGCAGCGGUCAUCUAGUUAGGCCGUCCGAUCGAAGCGAGGGAGGACUUUAUAUAUGGUGACUUUGUGUCAAAUGGGACAUGACUUUUUUUUUCCAAUUUGACAAAAAAAGAUUGGAUUUGGUUCAACGAUGAAAGGACCUCAUUGCCCUCCUCGAUUUUUUUCCUUCUUUAAAUAGACGUAAAUGAUUAUAAUGGUGAGGACAUUAUUGUAAAAUGAAAAAAUCAAAAACACGGAAUAGUGUUAGAGGUGCUGAGGUCGAAUCCCGGCCACCUCCAAAAUUUUCAUCUUUCCUCCCUUUUCUUCUUCUCUUCUUCCUAUCCCUAAUCUAUUCUUUCUAUCUAGGUUUCUAACAGCAGCAUAAAUCUCUCUCGAAUCCUUUCUUCUUCGUCGAAAUCGAAAUCCAGUUUCAUCUCCAUCAAUUUCACACCCUAAAUCUCCAUUAAUCUUUACUCAAUUUCGAAUUUAUUCUUCUUCUUUCUCUGUUAAUCAUCUACCGCUGGUUUGAGAAACAAAUCUGAGGGUCUCGGGAUUCAAAAAAGAGGAGUUUGGCUAAGGAGUGAGAGUGAUGGUGGUGGUAUUGUUUUAGCAAACGACUCAAACUCAGGGGAAGGUGGAUCAAGCAAACGAUAUUAGGGUUACUCUUAAAAUCGAAGAAAUUGAUGACGGUGAUGAAGAAUUUGAUCGUGGUGGUGUUUCUGGUAGGAGGUUUGAAUAGGAAUUGUGAAGAAGAAAGUGAUGCAGGUUGAGAUCGAGAGAAGAGGAUAAGUAUUAAGGAAGAGUUGACGGUGGUAUUGGUUGAUUUGGUGAUUUCAAAUUCAACAGAGAAGCUUUUGAGAGUUGAAUUGCAACCGGGGAUGAAGAAGAUGAACUGAGAUUGUAAUGAUGUUUUAGCUUGCGCAUGAAGAGCCGAACAAGCCCAAUCUGAUCCUGCUGAAAUGUGCAUAAAUUCCUCUUGAUCCACUGAAUAAAGAAUAAACGCAUAUCCCAUUGAAGAAUCUUCCUUUUUAAAGGAGGCAUCUAUAAGGAUUAUCCAAUCCGAGUGAAUGGAAGCCCAUGAAGAUUGAUUUAUUUUUCCUUGAUAUUGUUUACCUGACGUGUUAUGUAUUGGGUAACUCGAUUGUAAAAAUCUCUUUAUCUGCUCGAUCAGGUUUGUUGGAUCCGGUUA